UCAGACAAAAAGGAAAUAAAAUUUUGAUCUGAAUCCCGUCUCUCAACCAAUUUUUGGGAAAUUCUGUUUCUGAUAAUUGAACACCAUUAUAAGUACAUUUAAUCUGCAUUUCUCUAUUCCAUUCCUGAAAAUCUUCAGACCAUUCAGGAAGUUGCAAGAAUAACAUACGCCCAAUAUUUUUGGCUAUUAUCAAUGAAGGUAAUAUAAUAUAUUUUCGAAGAAUUGAUUGAGUUAUUAACAUGUAACCUCUUACCAUUUGCGCAAGAAUAUUGCUAUCGCAGGCUUCUACGAUCAUUAUCCGUGUUUCUUCCUUUUUAUUGUUCGCCUCUUUUUUGUCCUUUUCUUUUUUCUCUUCNAAGGUAAUAUAAUAUAUUUUCGAAGAAUUGAUUGAGUUAUUAACAUGUAACCUCUUA
rnacentral:lncRNA from 1 species